rnacentral:rRNA from 1 species
UACGUAGGGUGCAAGCGUUGUCCGGAAUUAUUGGGCGUAAAGAGCUCGUAGGCGGUCUGUUACGUCGGAUGUGAAAACCCGAGGCUUAACCUCGGACCUGCAUUCGAUACGGGCAGACUCGAGUGUGGUAGGGGAGACUGGAACUCCUGGUGUAGCGGUGAAAUGCGCAGAUAUCAGGAAGAACACCGGUGGCGAAGGCGGGUCUCUGGGCCACUACUGACGCUGAGGAGCGAAAGCGUGGGGAGCGAACAGG